rnacentral:rRNA from 1 species
ACGAACGCUGGCGGCGUGCCUAAUACAUGCAAGUCGAGCGGAAUGAUGAAGAAGCUUGCUUCUUCUGAUUUUAGCGGCGGACGGGUGAGUAACACGUGGGCAACCUACCUUGUAGAUUGGGAUAACUCCGGGAAACCGGGGCUAAUACCGAAUAAUCCAUUUUGCUUCAUGGCGAGAUGUUGAAAGACGGUUUCGGCUGUCACUACAAGAUGGGCCCGCGGCGCAUUAGCUAGUUGGUAGGGUAAUGGCCUACCAAGGCAACGAUGCGUAGCCGACCUGAGAGGGUGAUCGGCCACACUGGAACUGAGACACGGUCCAGACUCCUACGGGAGGCAGCAGUAGGGAAUCAUCCGCAAUGGGCGAAAGUCUGAUGGAGCAACGCCGCGUGAGUGAAGAAGGUUUUCGGAUCGUAAAACUCUGUUGUAAGGGAAGAACACGUACGAGAGUAACUGCUCGUACCUUGACGGUACCUUAUUAGAAAGCCACGGCUAACUACGUG